UUAAAGGAAUUGACGGAAGGGCACCACCAGGAAUGGAGCCUGCGGCUUAAUUUGACUCAACACGGGAAAACUUACCCGGCCCGGACACAGGAAGGAUUGACAGAUUAAGAGCUCUUUCUUGAUUCUGUGGGUGGUGGUGCAUGGCCGUUCUUAGUUGGUGGAGCGAUUUGUCUGGUUAAUUCCGAUAACGAACGAGACUCUAGCCUACUAAAUAGACGUUCCGAUCCACUGCGUCGGACGUUCUUCUUAGAGGGACAAGCGGCGUUUAGCCGCACGAGACAGAGCAAUAACAGGUCAGUGAUGCCCUUAGAUGUUCGGGGCCGCACGCGCGCUACAUUGAAGGAAUCAGCGUGUGCUUUCCCUGUCCGACAGGACUGGGUAACCCGUUGAAACUCUUUCGUGCUGGGGAUAGGGAGUUGUAAUUGUCUCCCUUGAACGAGGAAUUCCCAGUAAGCGCGAGUCAUAAGCUCGCGUUGAUUACGUCCCUGCCCUUUGUACACACCGCCCGUCGCUACUACCGAUUGAACGAUUUAGUGAGGUCUUCGGACUGGCGCUCGGAGCGGCUUUCGGGUCGUGCCGGCGUGCCGGAAAGAUGACCGAACUUGACCGUUUAGAGGAAGUAAAAGUCGUAACAAGGUUUCC
rnacentral:rRNA from 1 species